CACGUAGGGCGCGAGCGUUGUCCGGAAUUAUUGGGCGUAAAGAGCUCGUAGGCGGCCUGUUGCGUCCGCUGUGAAAGCCCGGGGCUUAACCCCGGGUCGGCAGUGGAUACGGGCAGGCUAGAGGUAGGUAGGGGAGAAUGGAAUCCCCGGUGUAGCGGUGAAAUGCGCAGAUAUCGGGAGGAACACCGGUGGCGAAGGCGGUUCUCUGGGCCUUACCUGACGCUGAGGAGCGAAAGCGUGGGGAGCGAACAGG
rnacentral:rRNA from 1 species